rnacentral:rRNA from 1 species
GAUGAACGCUGGCGGCGUGCCUAAUACAUGCAAGUCGAGCGAACAGACGAGGAGCUUGCUCCUUCGACGUUAGCGGCGGACGGGUGAGUAACACGUAGGUAACCUACCUAUAAGACUGGGAUAACUUCGGGAAACCGGAGCUAAUACCGGAUAAUAUUUCGAACCGCAUGGUUCGAUAGUGAAGGAUGGCUUUGCUAUCACUUAUAGAUGGACCUGCGCCGUAUUAGCUAGUUGGUAAGGUAACGUCUUACCAAGGCAACGAUACGUAGCCGACCUGAGAGGGUGAUCGGCCACACUGGAACUGAGACACGGUCCAGACUCCUACGGGAGGCAGCAGUAGGGAAUCUUCCGCAAUGGGCGAAAGCCUGACGGAGCAACGCCGCGUGAGUGAUGAAGGUCUUCGGAUCGUAAAACUCUGUUAUUAGGGAAGAACAAACGUGUAAGUAACUGUGCACGUCUUGACGGUACCUAAUCAGAAAGCCACGGCUAACUACGUG